rnacentral:rRNA from 1 species
AUUGAACGCUGGCGGCAGGCUUAACACAUGCAAGUCGAGCGGUAACAUUUCUAGCUUGCUAGAAGAUGACGAGCGGCGGACGGGUGAGUAAUGCUUGGGAAUAUGCCUUAUGGUGGGGGACAACAGUUGGAAACGACUGCUAAUACCGCAUAACGUCUACGGACCAAAGGGGGGGAUCUUCGGACCUCUCGCCAUUUGAUUAGCCCAAGUGAGAUUAGCUAGUUGGUAAGGUAAUGGCUUACCAAGGCGACGAUCUCUAGCUGGUUUGAGAGGAUGAUCAGCCACACUGGGACUGAGACACGGCCCAGACUCCUACGGGAGGCAGCAGUGGGGAAUAUUGCACAAUGGGCGAAAGCCUGAUGCAGCCAUGCCGCGUGUGUGAAGAAGGCCUUCGGGUUGUAAAGCACUUUCAGUUGUGAGGAAAGGUUNUAGUUUAAUAUGCUAUAGCUGUGACGUUAACAACAGAAGAAGCACCGGCUAACUUCGUGCCAGCAGCCGCGGUAAUACGAGGGGUGCAAGCGUUAAUCGGAAUUACUGGGCGUAAAGCGUUCGUAGGCGGUUUGUUAAGCAAGAUGUGAAAGCCCAGGGCUCAACCUUGGAACUGCAUUUUGAACUGGCAAACUAGAGUACUGUAGAGGGUGGUGGAAUUUCCAGUGUAGCGGUGAAAUGCGUAGAGAUUGGAAGGAACAUCAGUGGCGAAGGCGGCCACCUGGACAGAUACUGACGCUGAGGA